UUUACCAUGUUGGUUUUCUGUUACUACUUUCAUUGAUUAUUUUCUCUUCUUUUUUCAUAAAUAUCAUUCCUUUUUUUUUUAAUUAAAAAGUUUUGAUGGUAUUAAUAGGAUUUUUUUGAUGUACAAUUUGAUGUAUUUUGAAACCACCACUACAAUCAAGAUAGCUAACGUUUUCAACACCCACCAAGAGAGUGAUCUGUAAGAAAGCGACAAGGACUACCCCAGCUGUGCUGUGUUCCUAGAACCUCAGACAAGAACCUGGACACCGGCUACAGCUGCUGGCAACAUCUUUGGUGAGUCAGCCUGAUCAGAAGAUUUGAAUACAACUCGAACUUCAAAUGAUGAUUCAGCAAGGAUUCCAAACCAACCCACCUGAAGAUGAAGACCAUCAACAUCACUGGACAAGGCCUCUGCCUCCUACUCCCCACUCUCCAUCCCUGCCGACACUAACAACCCCUACCUCUGACAGACAGCAAGGAGAUCUGGGCCCACAGAGAGGGGCUACAUCCAUGUUCAGCUUGAAGUAGUUACGGAAGACUGGCCAUCGUCCCAUUUCCCCUUAAAAGAUUUUAAGGGUCUAGAAUCCUUGAGGGGGAAAUGUUGCAGCAGGAAGACAGCUAGAAAUGAGCAGAGAAAGGGGGACACAGGCCAAAUGGCAGGAAUUGGGCAGAAAGGAGGGGUUCAGCCAAACACAAGAAAUCAUACAUCAUGUAAGCAUCAGGGGUCCCUGGGCAGAGGAAGAAAACCAGGCUGGUAAGUGGUCACACCUUUUGGGUGAUGAACAGCCUGAAAACCAACAAAGAAAGGUGAGAAAAGGGAAGAAUUUCCAGUGUCAGAAUGUAACCUUUUGCUCAUUAUGCCCUCAUUACAAUCAAAUUAGCCUUGCAGAUUAGAAGUACCCAUCAUGCACUGAUACCAUAACACUUAUGAUCCAGACUAAUUAAGGACAAAACCCCUCCUCCCUUUGGGAGGGUGGAGUUGGGAUGAAAAGCAGGGAAUAUGACCCCAAACCCUUCCCUCCCCAAUGAAUAUUCUGCCCAUUCAUUUUUUACACCCUAUGUAACAAACUUGCAGAAAAAAAAAAAAAAAAAAAAAACUUAGGGCAACUGCUUACCUGAGCCUCUCCU